UCUAAAAGAAGCAAAUAAGUGCAUUAAGUUUAAGCCUUAAGUAUGGUUGACUGACCCUUUAGCU
rnacentral:tRNA from 1 species